rnacentral:lncRNA from 1 species
GGGGUUCCAAUUGCGUGCGCGUAUGGAUGCUCCUUUCGCCGCCGCCUUUCCAGCAACUAGUUGAUGUUAUGAUGCAUCGUUGGUCCGGUGUACGACGGCGCCUGGUGCGAUUUAUGCGUCCGGAAGCCCUUUCAGCCUCCAGGCAUGUCCCCACCUGCCUCAUAGCCACCGACGCAUCUCACGGCGGGGUUCCAAUUGCGUGCGCGUAUGGAUGCUCCUAUUCGCCGCCGCCUUUCUAGCAACUAGUUGAUGUUAUGAUGCAUCGUUGGUCCGGUGUACGACGGCGCCUGAUGCGAUUUAUGCGUCCGGAAGCCCUUUCAGCCUCCAGGCAUGUCCCCACCUGCCUCACAGCGACCGAGGCAUCUCACGGCGGGGGUCUAAUUGCGUGCGCGUAUGGAUGCUCCUUUCCCCGCCGCCUUUCUAGCAACUAGUUGAUGUUAUGAUGCAUCGUUGGUCCGGCGUAUGACGGCGCCUGGUGCGAUUUAGGCGUCCGGAAGCCCUUUCAGCCUCCAGGCAUGUCCCCACCUGCCUCACAGCCACCGACGCAUCUCACGGCGGGGGUCUAAUUGCGUGCGCGUAUGGAUGCUCCUUUCCCCGCCGCCUUUCUAGCAACUAGUUGAUGUUAUGAUGCAUCGUUGGUCCGGCGUACGACGGCGCCUGAUGCGAUUUAUGCGUCCGGAAGCCCUUUCAGCCUCCAGGCAUGACCCCACCUGCCUCACAGCUACCGAGGCAUCUCACGGCGGGGGUCCAAUUGCGUGCGCGUAUGGAUGCUCCUUUCCCCGCCGCCUUUCUAGCAACUAGUUGAUGUUAUGAUGCAUCGUUGGUCCAGUGUACGACGGCGCCUGAUGCGAUUUAUGCGUCCGGAAGCCCUUUCAGCCUCCAGGCAUGUCCCCACCUGCCUCACAGCCACCGACGCAUCUCACGGCGGGGUUCCAAUUGUGUGCGCGUAUGGAUGCUCCUUUCCCCGCCGCCUUUCUAGCAACUAGUUGAUGUUAUGAUGCAUCGUUGGUCCGGUGUACGACGGCGCCUGAUGCGAUUUAUGCGUCCGGAAGCCCUUUCAGCCUCCAGGCACGUCCCCACCUGCCUCACAGCCACCGACGCAUCUCACGGCGGGGUUCCAAUUGUGUGCGCAUAUGGAUGCUCCUUUCCCCGCCGCCUUUCUAGCAACUAGUUGAUGUGAUGAUGCAUCGUCGGUCCGGUGUACGAUGGCGCCUGAUGCGAUUUAUGCGUCCGGAAGCCCUUUCAGCCUCCAGGCAUGUCCCCACCUGCCUCACAGCUACCGAGGCAUCUCACGGCGGGGUUCCAAUUGUGUGCGCGUAUGGAUGCUCCUUUCCCCGCCGCCUUUCUAGCAACUAGUUGAUGUUAUGAUGCAUCGUUGGUCCGGUGUACGAUGGCGCCUGAUGCGAUUUAUGCGUCCGGAAGCCCUUUCAGCCUCCAGGCACGUCCCCACCUGCCUCACAGCCACCGACGCAUCUCACGGCGGGGGUCUAAUUGCGUGCGCGUAUGGAUGCUCCUUUCCCCGCCGCCUUUCUAGCAACUAGUUGAUGUUAUGAUGCAUCGUUGUUCCAGUGUACGACGGCGCCUGAUGCGAUUUAUGCGUCCGGAAGCCCUUUCAGCCUCCAGGCAUGUCCCCACCUGCCUCACAGCCACCGACGCAUCUCACGGCGGGGUUCAUAUUGCGUGCGCGUAUGGAUGCUCCUUUCGCCGCCUUUCCAGCAACUAGUUGAUGUUAUGAUGCAUCGUUGGUCCGGCGUACGACGGCGCCUGAUGCGAUUUAUGCGUCCGGAAGCCCUUUCAGCCUCCANNNNNNNNNNNNNNNNNNNNNNNNNNNNNNNNNNNNNNNNNNNNNNNNNNCUUUCCCCGCCGCCUUUCUAGCAACUAGUUGAUGUUAUGAUGCAUCGUUGGUCCGGUGUACGACGGCGCCUGAUGCGAUUUAUGCGUCCGGAAGCCCUUUCAGCCUCCAGGCAUGACCCCACCUGCCUCACAGCUACCGAGGCAUCUCACGGCGGGGUUCCAAUUGCGUGCGCGUAUGGAUGCUCCUUUCCCCGCCGCCUUUCUAGCAACUAGUUGAUGUUAUGAUGCAUCGUUGGUCCAGUGUACGACGGCGCCUGAUGCGAUUUAUGCGUCCGGAAGCCCUUUCAGCCUCCAGGCAUGUCCCCACCUGCCUCACAGCCACCGACGCAUCUCACGGCGGGGUUCCAAUUGUGUGCGCGUAUGGAUGCUCCUUUCCCCGCCGCCUUUCUAGCAACUAGUUGAUGUUAUGAUGCAUCGUUGGUCCGGUGUACGACGGCGCCUGAUGCGAUUUAUGCGUCCGGAAGCCCUUUCAGCCUCCAGGCACGUCCCCACCUGCCUCACAGCCACCGACGCAUCUCACGGCGGGGUUCCAAUUGUGUGCGCAUAUGGAUGCUCCUUUCCCCGCCGCCUUUCUAGCAACUAGUUGAUGUGAUGAUGCAUCGUCGGUCCGGUGUACGAUGGCGCCUGAUGCGAUUUAUGCGUCCGGAAGCCCUUUCAGCCUCCAGGCAUGUCCCCACCUGCCUCACAGCUACCGAGGCAUCUCACGGCGGGGUUCCAAUUGUGUGCGCGUAUGGAUGCUCCUUUCCCCGCCGCCUUUCUAGCAACUAGUUGAUGUUAUGAUGCAUCGUUGGUCCGGUGUACGAUGGCGCCUGAUGCGAUUUAUGCGUCCGGAAGCCCUUUCAGCCUCCAGGCACGUCCCCACCUGCCUCACAGCCACCGACGCAUCUCACGGCGGGGGUCUAAUUGCGUGCGCGUAUGGAUGCUCCUUUCCCCGCCGCCUUUCUAGCAACUAGUUGAUGUUAUGAUGCAUCGUUGGUCCGGCGUACGACGGCGCCUGAUGCGAUUUAUGCGUCCGGAAGCCCUUUCAGCCUCCAGGCAUGUCCCCACCUGCCUCACAGCCACCGAGGCAUCUCACGGCGGGGUUCCAAUUGUGUGCGCGUAUGGAUGCUCCUUUCCGCCGCCUUUCUAGCAACUAGUUGAUGUUAUGAUGCAUCGUUGGUCCGGCGUACGACGGCGCCUGAUGCGAUUUAUGCGUCCGGAAGCCCUUUCAGCCUCCAGGCAUGUCCCCACCUGCCUCACAGCCACCGACGCAUCUCACGGCGGGGUUCUAAUUGCGUGCGCGUAUGGAUGCUCCUUUCCCCGCCGCCUUUCUAGCAACUAGUUGAUGUUAUGAUGCAUCGUUG